GGAGCAUGUGGUUUAAUUCGAAGCAACGCGAAGAACCUUACCAAAUCUUGACAUCCUUUGAAAACUCUAGAGAUAGAGCCUUCCCCUUCGGGGGACAAAGUGACAGGUGGUGCAUGGUUGUCGUCAGCUCGUGUCGUGAGAUGUUGGGUUAAGUCCCGCAACGAGCGCAACCCUUAAACUUAGUUGCCAGCAUUUAGUUGGGCACUCUAGGUUGACUGCCGGUGACAAACCGGAGGAAGGUGGGGAUGACGUCAAAUCAUCAUGCCCCUUAUGAUUUGGGCUACACACGUGCUACAAUGGACAAUACAAAGGGCAGCUAAACCGCGAGGUCAUGCAAAUCCCAUAAAGUUGUUCUCAGUUCGGAUUGUAGUCUGCAACUCGACUACANGAAGNNNNAUCGC
rnacentral:rRNA from 1 species